ensembl:snoRNA SNORD62 Small nucleolar RNA SNORD62
UCUCAGUGAUGCACUUCCAAUAGGUCCUUCUGAUCCUCCACUGUGGACUCACUAGCAGGGAGAUGAAGAGGAAGGUGACCGAGAGA